GAUGAACGCUGGCGGCGUGCUUAACACAUGCAAGUCGAACGGAAAGGCUCCUGCUUGCAGGGGUACUCGAGUGGCGAACGGGUGAGUAACACGUGGGUGAUCUGCCCUGCACUUCGGGAUAAGCCUGGGAAACUGGGUCUAAUACCGGAUAGGACGAUGGUUUGGAUGCCAUUGUGGAAAGUUUUUCGGUGUGGGAUGAGCUCGCGGCCUAUCAGCUUGUUGGUGGGGUAAUGGCCUACCAAGGCGUCGACGGGGAGCCGGCCUGGGAGGGGGUACGGCCACAUUGGGGCUUGGGUACGGCCCAGACCCCUACGGGGGGCAGCAGGGGGGAAUAUUGCACAAUGGGCGCAAGCCUGAUGCAGCGACGCCGCGUUGGGGAUGACGGCCUUCGGGUUGUAAACUCCUUUCGCUAGGGACGAAGCGCAAGUGACGGUACCUGGAGAAGAAGCACCGGCUAACUACGUG
rnacentral:rRNA from 1 species